rnacentral:rRNA from 1 species
AGUGCAAUUCGUUGCACUAUUGCAUGGUGAAUACAUAGCCAUGCAAGGCGAACCGGGGGAACUGAAACAUCUAAGUACCCCGAGGAAAAGAAAUCAACCGAGAUUCCCCCAGUAGCGGCGAGCGAACGGGGAGGAGCCCAGAACCUGAAUCAGCGUAUGUGUUAGUGGAAGCGUCUGGAAAGUCGCACGGUACAGGGUGAUAGUCCCGUACACAAAAAUGCAUAUGUUGUGAGUUCGAUGAGUAGGGCGGGACACGUGACAUCCUGUCUGAAUAUGGGGGGACCAUCCUCCAAGGCUAAAUACUCCUGACUGACCGAUAGUGAACCAGUACCGUGAGGGAAAGGCGAAAAGAACCCCGGCGAGGGGAGUGAAAUAGAACCUGAAACCGUGUACGUACAAGCAGUGGGAGCACCUUCGUGGUGUGACUGCGUACCUUUUGUAUAAUGGGUCAGCGACUUAUAUUUUGUAGCAAGGUUAACCGAAUAGGGGAGCCGUAGGGAAACCGAGUCUUAACUGGGCGAAUAGUUGCAAGGUAUAGACCCGAAACCCGGUGAUCUAGCCAUGGGCAGGUUGAAGGUUGGGUAACACUAACUGGAGGACCGAACCGACUAAUGUUGAAAAAUUAGCGGAUGACUUGUGGCUGGGGGUGAAAGGCCAAUCAAACCGGGAGAUAGCUGGUUCUCCCCGAAAGCUAUUUAGGUAGCGCCUCGUGAACUCAUCUUCGGGGGUAGAGCACUGUUUCGGCUAGGGGGUCAUCCCGACUUACCAAACCGAUGCAAACUCCGAAUACCGAAGAAUGUUAUCACGGGAGACACACGGCGGGUGCUAACGUCCGUCGUGAAGAGGGAAACAACCCAGACCGCCAGCUAAGGUCCCAAAGUCAUGGUUAAGUGGGAAACGAUGUGGGAAGGCAUAGACAGCCAGGAUGUUGGCUUAGAAGCAGCCAUCAUUUAAAGAAAGCGUAAUAGCUCACUGGUCGAGUCGGCCUGCGCGGAAGAUGUAACGGGGCUAAACCAUGCACCGAAGCUGCGGCAGCGACGCUUAGGCGUUGUUGGGUAGGGGAGCGUUCUGUAAGCCGUUGAAGGUGACCUGUGAGGGUUGCUGGAGGUAUCAGAAGUGCGAAUGCUGACAUAAGUAACGAUAAUGCGGGUGAAAAACCCGCACGCCGGAAGACCAAGGGUUCCUGUCCAACGUUAAUCGGGGCAGGGUGAGUCGACCCCUAAGGCGAGGCUGAAAAGCGUAGUCGAUGGGAAACAGGUUAAUAUUCCUGUACUUGGUGUUACUGCGAAGGGGGGACGGAGAAGGCUAGGCUAGCCGGGCGACGGUUGUCCCGGUUUAAGCAUGUAGGCGGAGUGACUUGGUAAAUCCGGUUGCUUAUCAACGCUGAGGUGUGAUGACGAGCCACUACGGUGGUGAAGUAGUUGAUGCCAAGCUUCCAGGAAAAGCCUCUAAGCAUCAGGUAACAUUAAAUCGUACCCCAAACCGACACAGGUGGUCAGGUAGAGAAUACUCAGGCGCUUGAGAGAACUCGGGUGAAGGAACUAGGCAAAAUGGUGCCGUAACUUCGGGAGAAGGCACGCUGGCAUUAGGUAAAGAGACUUGCUCUCGGCGCCGAAGCCAGUCGCAGAUACCAGCUGGCUGCAACUGUUUAAUAAAAACACAGCACUGUGCAAACACGAAAGUGGACGUAUACGGUGUGACGCCUGCCCGGUGCUGGAAGGUUAAUUGAUGGGGUCAGCCGCAAGGCGAAGCUCUUGAUCGAAGCCCCAGUAAACGGCGGCCGUAACUAUAACGGUCCUAAGGUAGCGAAAUUCCUUGUCGGGUAAGUUCCGACCUGCACGAAUGGCGUAAUGAUGGCCAGGCUGUCUCCACCCGAGACUCAGUGAAAUUGAACUCGCUGUGAAGAUGCAGUGUACCCGCGGCAAGACGGAAAGACCCCGUGAACCUUUACUAUAGCUUGACACUGAACAUUGAGCCUUGAUGUGUAGGAUAGGUGGGAGGCAUUGAAGUGUGGACGCCAGUCUGCAUGGAGCCAACCUUGAAAUACCACCCUUUAAUGUUUGAUGUUCUAACUCGGCCCCGUGAUCCGGGGUGAGGACAGUGUCUGGUGGGUAGUUUGACUGGGGCGGUCUCCUCCCAAAGAGUAACGGAGGAGCACGAAGGUUAGCUAAUCACGGUCGGACAUCGUGAGGUUAGUGCAAAGGCAUAAGCUAGCUUGACUGCGAGAGUGACGGCUCGAGCAGGUACGAAAGUAGGUCUUAGUGAUCCGGUGGUUCUGAAUGGAAGGGCCAUCGCUCAACGGAUAAAAGGUACUCCGGGGAUAACAGGCUGAUACCGCCCAAGAGUUCAUAUCGACGGCGGUGUUUGGCACCUCGAUGUCGGCUCAUCACAUCCUGGGGCUGAAGUAGGUCCCAAGGGUAUGGCUGUUCGCCAUUUAAAGUGGUACGCGAGCUGGGUUUAGAACGUCGUGAGACAGUUCGGUCCCUAUCUGCCGUGGGCGUUGGAAGAUUGAGAGGGGCUGCUCCUAGUACGAGAGGACCGGAGUGGACGAAUCACUGGUGUUCGGGUUGUCAUGCCAAUGGCAUUGCCCGGUAGCUAAAUUCGGAAGAGAUAACCGCUGAAAGCAUCUAAGCGGGAAACUUGCCUCGAGAUGAGUCUUCCCUGGGGCUUUAAGCCCCCUGAAGGAACGUUAAAGACUAUGACGUUGAUAGGCUGGGUGUGUAAGUGCAGCGAUGCAUUGAGCUAACCAGUACUAAUGAUCCGU